ensembl:misc_RNA Metazoa_SRP Metazoan signal recognition particle RNA
UCCAGGCAUGGUGGCGCAUGCCUGUAAUCCCAGCUACUUGGGAGGUUGAGGCAGAAGAAUCGCUUGAAACCAGGAGGCAGAGGUUGUAGUGAGCUGAGAUCAUGCCACUGCGCUCUAUCCUGGGCGACAGAGCGAGACUUUGUCUCAA